CUAUUCUUACUAUCGCCUAUAUUGAAGUUCGACUCUUUAGGAUUUUGAUUCCAGUACCAUCCAUCUUGCAUGUAUUAUGGAUAAUCUCACAGCUUAGAUGAGUCAAGAAUCAUGCUUGUGUAUCCUUCUGCCACUAUGAUGUUGUGUUCCACAUUAAUAAUUUUGCCUGUCUGAGGAUGAGUUCGCUUACCUUGGAUUCAGCAAUGUCGACUCUAUGUUUCUUGACAUGGGCUACCUUGUCAUUUGUGACAUUCUUCUCGGUAUUCACUUUGGACAUAUCUUGCAUGGCGUUAGGUGUGGAAUCUUUAUUGAUUUGCAUGAUCUCAAUCAU
rnacentral:lncRNA from 1 species